AAGACCUUGCACUUUUGGAGCGGCCGAUGUCUGAUUAGCUAGUUGGUGGGGUAAUGGCCUACCAAAGCUUCGAUCAGUAGCUGGUCUGAGAGGACGGCCAGCCACACUGGGACUGAGACACGGCCCAGACUCCUACGGGAGGCAGCAGUGGGGAAUUUUGGACAAUGGGGGCAACCCUGAUCCAGCCAUUCCGCGUGAGUGAAGAAGGCCUUCGGGUUGUAAAGCUCUUUCGCAAGGGAAGAAAAGAUAUAGGUUAAUAGCCUGUGUUGAUGACGGUACCUUGACAAGAAGCACCGGCUAACUACGUGCCAGCAGCCGCGGUAAUACGUAGGGUGCAAGCGUUAAUCGGAAUUACUGGGCGUAAAGCGUGCGCAGGCUGUUUGGCAAGUCAGAUGUGAAAUCCCCGAGCUCAACUUGGGAACU
rnacentral:rRNA from 1 species